rnacentral:rRNA from 1 species
UACGAAGGGUGCAAGCGUUACUCGGAAUCACUGGGCGUAAAGCGUGCGUAGGCGGUUCGUUAAGUCUGCUGUGAAAGCCCUGGGCUCAACCUGGGAACUGCAGUGGAUACUGGCGGACUAGAGUGUGAUAGAGGAUGGUGGAAUUCCCGGUGUAGCGGUGAAAUGCGUAGAGAUCGGGAGGAACACCAGUGGCGAAGGCGGCCAUCUGGAUCAACACUGACGCUGAGGCACGAAAGCGUAGGGAGCAAACAGGG